rnacentral:rRNA from 1 species
UACGUAGGGGGCAAGCGUUGUCCGGAAUCAUUGUGCGUAAAGCGCGUGUAGGCGGCUCGGUAAGCCUGCUGUGAAAGUCCAGGGCUCAACCCUGGGAUGCCGGUGGAUACUGUCGAGCUCGAGUCCGGAAGAGGCGAGUGGAAUUCCUGGUGUAGCGGUGAAAUGCGCAGAUAUCAGGAGGAACACCAAUGGCGAAGGCAGCUCGCUGGGACGUGACUGACGCUGAGACGCGAAAGCGUGGGGAGCAAACAGG